GACAGGCAAGUUCUAGAAGGUUUCAGCUGAUGCAGCUGGUUUGUAUUCAGGUCCUAAGAUCGUGAACUGGAAGAGAUGAACCCAUCCAUUUUGCUGCCCUGCUGACUAGAUAGCUUCCUCUGGCAGAAAGGCAAUUUGGAUAACUGGAGUGAUAACAUGUUAAAAUAACACAACUAUAUUUCUUCAAGAUGAGUUAUUGGAGAUUGUGUUAUCUUCUUGAAUCACAGAAUUCCAGAAUUGCAGGGGUUGAAGGGACCUCAAGAGAUCCUGUGUGUGAAAAUAGAUCAUACAGGGAAACCUGGAAGGAUGAGAUCUGUCGUUUCAGAACAGGGUGCAGAAAAGGAGAAGAUUUCAAGGCUCUAUAGAGGAGAAACGGAGAUAUGGUGCCAAACUGCUUUCUGGAAAUAAAGCCAAGAUAGAAAGAAAUGUUGAAAUGCCAUCAGAAAUUCCCAGAGAUGACAGUUAGAUACCCAUUCUGUCCAGUCUGGUAGCCAGAAGUUCAACAGAAGUUCAGUAAAAUAUUUGUUGCACCUUUUUUUUUUUUCUUUUCUUUUUUUCCAAUGCUCAGCAUAUAGUCUGAUAAAUCUGUAAACUGCUAUAUGGAGGAGAAGCACAGUAAUUUAGUUUCUAGACCAAUAUUCAGGUACAGACAUUUUAUAUCCAUCUGUUAUCUAAUAGAAAGGAAUUCCCAGCUUACUAGAAUUAAAUU